UACGUAGGUGGCAAGCGUUGUCCGGUUUUACUGGGCGUAAAGGGAGCGUAGGUGGAUAUUUAAGUGGGAUGUGAAAUACCCGGGCUUAACCUGGGUGCUGCAUUCCAAACUGGGUAUCUAGAGUGCAGGAGAGGAAAGCGGAAUUCCUAGUGUAGCGGUGAAAUGCGUAGAGAUUAGGAAGAACAUCAGUGGCGAAGGCGGCUUUCUGGACUGUAACUGACGCUGAGGCAUGAAAGCGUGGGGAGCAAACAGGAUUAGAUACCCUGGUAGUCCACGCCGUAAACGAUGAGUACUAGGUGUAGGAGGUAUCGACUCCUUCUGUGCCGCAGUUAACACAAUAAGUACUCCGCCUGGGAAGUACGGUCGCAAGAUUAAA
rnacentral:rRNA from 1 species